CCCAGACUCCUACGGGAGGCAGCAGUGGGGGAUAUUGCACAAUGGGGGAAACCCUGAUGCAGCGACGCCGCGUGAGUGAAGAAGUAUUUCGGUAUGUAAAGCUCUCUCAGCAGGGAAGGAAAAAGACGGUACCUGACUAAGAAGCCCCGGCUAACUACGUGCCAGCAGCCGCGGUAAUACGUAGGGGGCAAGCGUUAUCCGGAUUUACUGGGUGUAAAGGGAGCGUAGACGGCAAUACAAGUCGGAAGUGAAAUACCCGGGCUCAACCUGGGAACUGCUUUGGAAACUGUAUGGCUGGAGUGCUGGAGAGGUAAGCGGAAUUCCUAGUGUAGCGGUGAAAUGCGUAGAUAUUAGGAGGAACACCAGUGGCGAAGGCGGCUUACUGGACAGUAACUGACGUUGAGGCUCGAAAGCGUGGGGAGCAAACAGGAUUAGAUACCCGAGUA
rnacentral:rRNA from 1 species